UACGGGGGGGGCAAGCGUUGUUCGGAAUUACUGGGCGUAAAGGGCUCGUAGGUGGCCAACUAAGUCAGACGUGAAAUCCCUCGGCUUAACCGGGGAACUGCGUCUGAUACUGGAUGGCUUGAGAUUGGGAGAGGGAUGCGGAAUUCCAGGUGUAGCGGUGAAAUGCGUAGAUAUCUGGAGGAACACCUGCGGUGUAGACGGCUUACUGGACCAUAACUGACGCUGAGGCACGAAAGCGUGGGUAGCAAACAGG
rnacentral:rRNA from 1 species